AGCCGCAUCGGUUCGAUUGGGAGACUCAUCAAUUACAUUCAGAAAACCGAGACAAGCUUCGUUCUCCAAUGGCGGGCUGCGCCCUUCGGGGUAACCUCUUCACGAGGCCGGCAGAUUACAAAGGAAGCGGGCACUCAAAUCAUUCAUACUCGGAGUUCUCAUCACAUCAUCGAUGCGGUUUUUU
rnacentral:sRNA from 1 species